rnacentral:pre_miRNA from 1 species
AAUGUUUGAUACCGUUGACUUUUUAGCACAUGUUUGACCGUUCGUCUUAUUCAAAAAAUUUAAGUAAUUAUUAAUUUUUUUCCUAUCAUUUGAUUCAUUGUUAAAUAUAUUUUUAUGUAGGCAUAUAAUUUUACAUAUUUUACAAAAGUUUUUGAAUAAGACGAACGGUCAAACAUAUGCUAAAAAGUCAACGGCGUCAAACAUU